rnacentral:rRNA from 2 species
UUGAAAGGGAAACGAUUGAAGUCAGUCGUACCUGCGGGUAAUCAGCCUUUUGGGCAUGAUUCUGUGGAGCGUGAGGAGUUAAACGCCUUCAUGCCUGCAUAUUCGUGUACUUUGGGUGUACUUGCCAGUGUGGUUAGUUAACAUCAAUUUUGGUUAUCAUAAAAUGGUUGGAGGAAUGUAGCUUCGAUUUCGAUUGAAGUGUUAUAGCCUUCGGCAGAUGUGAUGAUCGGGAUUGAGGAUAGCAACGGAUACCCUUCGGGGCUACCUGUCUGAUCUCUGAUCGUUGCUCUGGUGCCGAAAGCGUGCUUACGGUUAUCAAAGUCGAUGGUCAAUAGGUUAGAAUGGGUUAAAUUCGUUAAGGAUGUUGACGUA